GUCUACGGCCAUGCCACCCUGAACAAGCCUGAUGUCUGAUCUCGGAAGCUAAGUAGGGUCGGGCCUGGUCGGUACUUGGAUGGGAGACUACCUAGGAAAACCUGGUGCUGUAGGCA
rnacentral:rRNA from 1 species